CGACCUCCAAGGGGGAGCGCCGGUACAGCACAGGCACAAGCACGCCCAGCCCCUGAACCCCUGUUCUUCACCCAUCCAAUGGCGUACAUGAUGUGCUCCUCCUCGAUGCGACUGUUCCCAGCGAGCUCUCUUCGCCUGAGGAGGCGGAGCAGCAAGUCAAGCACCCCCUUGGCCUCCUAUCCUGCAGCGCGUGGACGACCUCACCGUCGGCUGCGUUUAUGCCCUCCUAGCAUGAUAUUGGUUAUGGGAGCAUUUUCAACAACAAAGACAUGCGUUUUGACAACAUUGGCGUGGACGGGUUGAUUUGCUGCUAUAAAUGUUGGAUGACCCCUGGUUGGUGUGUGGCAGCCGAACAAGAGUGGCCUCGCUUGAUGGGGGCGGUGCUGGCUGCAGAGUAGCAUAGUGUUCUCCGAGACAUGCUUGUAAAAUUAAUGUUUUUGGGUCUUCUUUUUUCGCUCCUGUACAGGUGUAUUUUUGGAUAUGUUGUGAUUUUCUUUUUCUAAUGACAUGAGCA